rnacentral:lncRNA from 1 species
AAAGAGUUCAGCUUCAUCUGAAGCACAAAUGCUAGCUUCCCCUGUGGAAAUUAUGACUGUUUAGUCUGUACUUGUCUACAUUUUAGUUAGCUGCUUUUAAGAUCAAUAUUUGGGUGAUGUCUGAAAGAGUGCUCAUGAAGUCUUUAUGCAGCUCAUUGGGUGAUUUAUUGUGCAGGUAUUCUCUGAAGGUGGUCUAUAGAUGUGUAUUUCUCACUCAUCUACAGAGAAACAUCAUACAGCAAAAGAAAAAUCAGACAGACAUGCUCAUGGUAAGAACUACAUACUGUUCUUUGGACAGAAUAUUGAUUUCUAACAUGAUCACUGGUGUAUUCUAAUACUUGGAAAAAUGAACCUAGUAAACAUGUAGUAAUGAAAAAGAAAGAAAGAUAAUGAGUUGUCUUCUUUAAGACCAAAUUCCAGUUGCAGGUUAUAGUGGGAGUCUCUCUCUUAGUUUCUAUACGAGACAUGCGUACAUGACAAGGGAGUUGGCAAUCAUGAAGUGGAGAGGAGAAAAAGGAAUAAACAUUGAGAAAGGAAGAGAGAGUGAGUACAGUAAGUAAAUGAAAGAAAAAGAAGCUGUGAAGGCAGAGAAAUUUCAAUCAUGUACCAGAAGGAAAAGUCCAGUGUAUUGAAAAUAUGGAAGGAAUAUGUGGGUUUCCCUUAUGAACAUGACUGAAGGUAUGAGAGAAUUUUGUGUUUUGGUUUUGUGUUUUUUCAGGUAGGAACUGAAUCAGUACCUAUUACUUUAUCUGGGAUAGACACAGAUUGCAUAAGAUUCUCACUACAAAAUAUUUUGUUGGAAAGAAUACUGUUCUUUACCCUCUACCUUCUUUCUAUUGAUUUCUCAGUAUAUUCUCAUCUUCCUCAGGGAAUCCUUUCUGUAGAUCAGUUUCCUUUAUUACAUCACAAAACUCCUUUUUAUAUCAUCUUUCUGAGUUUAUAUGUUUUUCUUCUCCAUUAGACUUUAAGCUAAUGAAUAGAAAGAGAUCCCAUCUACUUUAUCUGCAGAGUACAGCAGAAUGUGUCACAUGUUGUAGGUACUCAUCGGUUUAGUGUAUGAAUAAUGCAUGUGAAAUAUACAGCAUUAAUAUAUGUAAUUACUCACAUAUUUUGUUUCUUCUUUCCUUUCUUUCUGACAGAGUCUGUUAGCCUGUCGAAAUCCCAGAAAGCAAUUGUAUCACUUCAAAGAAUAAUAAAGCUUAAAAAAAGUCACUGCUCACAGUGUUCACUACAUGUUAAAAAAAAAAAAUUCACACCUGGAAAAUGAGAUGCAUGAGCUAAAAAAGAGGGUAUCAAAGUUUAAGCACAAAAAUGCAGAAUUGAAACAAUAACUCCACAAUUUGAGGUAUUAUAUUCUAGAUUGAAAGAAGGGGUGGAACCCUUUCCUUUAUUACAGUCAAAAUAAGGAGGAUAAUUUUUUUAACUGAUGACCUGUUAGCAUUUUCAAGGGAGAAAACUUGAAUAAAAUAUAAAAUUCUUACAAAUAAGAUAACAUAUUAUUAAAUGUGAUUAUUCUAAAAAUUAAAUGAAUAUUUUUCCCUGACACAAUUUUAAUGGCUACAUGAAACCCCAUCUGCUAGAAAUCUGUUUGUUUUACAAACAGAAUUUGGGGUUGCUAUUUGUUUAUAUUUUAAGUUAUUUUAUUAAAAUUAACAUUUCAAUAAAUAUCAUUUAGAAAAAAAAUCAUUUUCCACUCAGAUGCUAUGGCAUGUGCCUAUAAUUCCAGAAGCUAGGGAGGCAGAGGCAGGAGGACCAAAAGUUCAAAGCAAGACUAGCAACUUAUCAAGGUCCUAAGCAAAUUAGUGAGACCCUGUCUCAAAAUUUAAAAAAAAAAAGAAAAGAAAAAGGCCUUGGGAUGUAGCUUGGUUGUUUAGCUCUUGUGGGUUCAAUCUCUGGUACCAAAGGUGGGAGUGAGAACAAAAAAAAAAGGAAAGAAAAAAUUAUUUUCUAUAUAUUUCUUUACUUUUAAAAAAUAUUUCAAUAUAGAGUUAUUUGGUUAAAGUAGGGUAACUUUAAAAAAGAUAUUUGAUCAGAGUUUCUAAAUUGCUCUCAAGAAAGUUUGUACUCCACCAAUGGAUCAUUUUCUACUGCCCUGAAACAUGUUUUUAUACAUUUAUACUUUUUCUUCUAAUGCUUGGGGUCAAACCCAGGGUUUUGUGUGACUAGUAUAAUGUGCUAGUGCUCAGCUAGACCCUCAGCUACACUUUUAUCAUUAAUAUUCAUUUAAAAAUGAAAUGGAACCGAUGUGAUUCUGCAAUCUGUAUUUG